UUCUGGAGUGACCUGGAUAACAAUUUGUUUGCUCAUACACCUUAAGUACUCCCCAAAUAGAAUGUAUAAAAGUACUAAUUUAGAUUGGUUUUGUGUAAUCUGUGAAUAAAUAAUAUUUUACAGCAGUUCUCUGGGUAAUGAGAGUCACUCUGUACAGAUAGUAGGUAUGUACUUAAAUAUUUAUACAUUUCCCUCUGAGCUAGUAAGUCAUUGACCCUGAAGCUGGAAUGAGGCUGGUUUGCACCUUGGAAAACUUAAUCGUUCCCAUGGUAACACAGAGACUCUUGCCUACCACUUCUUCCCACAUCUUUGUUAUAUUUAAAGCAAGAAAUUGUUAUUUACUUCAUAUUUGAUAUGUUGAUACAAUUUUCAGGGC
rnacentral:lncRNA from 1 species